rnacentral:lncRNA from 1 species
UAAUAAAUUAAUUUUUAUCAAAUCUGUACUAGUUAAAAUCAUUAAUUAUCAUAUAUACUUUAGCCAUAAUAGGUAAUUUCGUAACUUUUAUUUAGGAAAAUAAUAAUGAAUUUAUGGUUAGUUUAAUAAAAAUUUAUUAUAUAUUUAGUGAUCAAUAUAUUUUUCUAAAGAUUCUAAAAAUUAUUUUUGCGAUAAUACGUGAGUAAUGCUUCUUGAUUAAUAUAUAAGGAGACAAAUGCUGUAAUGGACCACAAGGGGUCAAAAUAAUCUCAUAUGGACCUCUUGCCUUUUUAUUUUAAAAAAGAAUUAAAAUUAAAUCAAAAAUAGGAGGAAAAGACCAUGAAGCCUAGAAAGUUCUACUUAUUUACUAACCCAACCACACACUAUCCUAACCCACUAACCCGAUCCUACUCAAU